GACGAACGCUGGCGGCGUGCUUAACACAUGCAAGUCGAACGAAGUGGCGAACGGGUGAGUAAUACGUGGGUAACCUGCCCUCCUUUUUGGGAUAAGCCUUGGAAACGGGGUCUAAUACCGAAUAAAGGGGGAUGGGCUCGCGGCCUAUCAGCUUGUUGGUGGGGUGAUGGCCUACCAAGGCGGUGACGGGUAGCCGGCCUGAGAGGGUGACCGGCGUCAUUGGGACUGCGAUACGGCCCAGACUGCUACGGGAGGCAGUAGUGGGGGAUAUUGCGCAAUGGGUGUAAGCAUGAUGCAGCGAGGCCGGGGGGGGGAUGAAGGCUUUCGGUUUGUAAACCUCUUGCGCGAUCGAACGGGUAGGUAGCGAGGAAGCGACGGCUAACUCCGUGCCAGCAGCCGCGGUAAUAC
rnacentral:rRNA from 1 species